UUACGGCCAUAUCACGUUGAAAUACCGGUUCUCGCAUGAUCACCAAAGUUAAAUAACGUCAAGCCUGGUCAAUACCCAGAUGGGUGGCUGCUUGGGAAUACCAAGUGCUGUAAG